UAAUAAGUGUUUUAUGGCACUUUUUAAAUCCAUAUCCACCUUGUGUGCAAUGUCGGUCGAUCUUCUUUUUUGAGGAUCGACCAAACAUCAACCUUUAUUUUUAACCUCUUUGUCUGAAAAUAUUUGAAUAAACAAUUCAAAAUAC
rnacentral:misc_RNA from 1 species